AUUAAAUCCAAAUCCAACUCAAAUUAUAUCCAAUAUUCCUGCAGGAACUAUAAUUAAGCAAAUUAUUAGUGAUACGCAAAUUGAA
rnacentral:tRNA from 1 species